GGAAAUUCUGGAUGGGGCUGGACCAUGGCACCAAGCUGGGGAAUAUUGUCGCCCACCAGAGGAGAUAGAGGCAGCCAAGGCGGAGCGGCGCCGGUAUGAAGCUUUGUACGUGCCGAUGGGGAAGCACGAGAGGCACCCCCAAUAAAAAAAAAUUGGGGGGGGGGGCACACGGGUAGUUUGGCUGGGCCAAGGGUGAGCCCUAAGCCAGCUCCCCGUGCUUAUUAUGGGAAGCAUUUGGAGUGGAGAGCGCCGGAGUAUGUGGUAGUGCGCACGAUCUUGCCCAUGCGCACGCACAGUCCGGUGCGAGCGAUCCCAGCCCCUCGCAAGUGCCAUGCUAGAGUAGGCAUCCAGCCUGGAAGGAGGAUGCCUGCACAGCGCAUCUGGCCACCAGUGCGCUUCCUAGGCCCAGGCUACCCUACGCCUGCUCUACGCACGGCAACCAUCAGGCCUCUGCACAGCCCAGUUCGCCCUGUACCAGCACUCCGCUCGUGCAGGGCUGUUAUUUCCAUCCAGCUAGGACGGGUUGUGCAAGAGGUGCGCUCCAGACCUCCAGUGCUUACCCAUGGCCCGGUAAAUCCAGUUCCUGCUUCUCGUGCUGACCCUGAGGUGCGUAUCCAUAGUCUGGCGUCUCCUAAACCAGCACCACGCACCAGGCUUCCAGUGCGUCAGCCCAGUCCAACUCGUCCUGUACCUGCUCCCCGCACUAGCCCUGAGGUGCGUGUCCCCAGUCUGGUACUUCCAAUACCAGCCCCACGCAUCAGGCUUUCAGUGCGUCAGCCCAUUCCCGAGCUUCCGACGACAGUACCUCAUCCAGAGUGUCCGGCAACAGUGCCUCGUCCAGAACUCCCGGCAACAGUGCCUCGUCCAGAACUCCCGGCAACAGUGCCUCGUCCAGAACUCCCGGCAACAAUACAAUAUCUGUAAGGUCCCUCAGUCGAGCAGUGAAUUUCAACCACAGAUUCAACCACAAAGACCAGGGAGGUUUUCCAAUGCCUCACAAAGAAGGGCACCUAUUGGUAGAUGGGUAAUUAAAAGCAGACAUUGAAUAUCCCUUUGAACAUGUUAAAGUUAUUCAUUACACUUUGGGUGGUGUAUCAAUAUGCCCAGUCACUACAGUUGCUGCACCAGUUGCUGGAGAGGAAGGAAACUGCUCAGGGAUUUCACCAUGAGGCCAGGGGUGACUUUAAAACAAUCCCCUCUUUUAAAAUGCCUGUGGUAGGAGAACUGAGGAUGGAUCAACAACAUUGUAGUUACUCCACAAUACUAACCUAAUUGACAGAGUGAAAAGAAAGAAACCUGUACAAAAUAAACAUAUUUUAAAACAUGCAUCCUCUUUGCAACAAGGCACUAAAGUAAUACUGAAAAACAUUUCACAAAUCAAUACACUUGUUGUCCUGAAUAAAAAGUGUUAUGUUUGGGGCAAAUCCAAUACAACACAUUAAUAAGUAUCACUCUCCAUAUUUUCAAGCAUAGUGGUGGCUGCAUCAUGUUAUGGGUAUGCUUAUAAUCAUUAAGGACUGGGGAGUUUUUCAGGAUAAAAAAAGAAAUGGAAUGGAGCUAAGCACAGGCAAAAUCCUAGACGAAAACCUGCUUCAGUCUGCUUUCCACCAGACACUGUGAGACGAAUUCACCUUUCAGCAGGACAAUAACCUAAAACACAAGGCCAAAUCUACGCUGAAGGUGCUUACCAAGAAGACACUGAAUGUUCCUGAGUGUCUGAGUUACAGUUUUGACUUAAAUCUACUUCAAAAUCUAUGGCAAGACCUGGAAAUGGUUGUCUAGCAAUGAUCAACAACCAAUUUGACAGAGCUUGAAUAAUUUUGAAAAUAAUAAUGAGCAAAUGUUGCACAAUCCAGGUGUGGAGAGCUCUUACAGACUUACCCAGAAAGACCCACAACUGUAAUUGUUGCCAAAGGUGCUUCUACAAAGUAUUGACUCAGGGGUGGGAACACAGUACUUAUGUAAAUGAGAUAUUUCUGGAUGAAAUGUUCUAUACAUUUUCAAUCAUUUCUAAAAACAUGUUUUCAUUUUGACAUUAUUGGGUAUUGUGUGUAGAUGUGUGAGAAAAACAAUAUAUUUAAUCCGGUGACACAACAAAACGUGGAAUAACUCAAGGGGUAUGAAUACUUUCUGAAGGCACUGUAUAUGUACACCUCACCUCAAUCUGCCAGUGAUUUCUGAAAUCAAGUUUGUAUGAAAAAUAAAGUCAGAACACCCCAACUUUACAGUAUAUAAAUUAGAUUGGUAGAGUAAGAAAUAAUAGAGGAUAUAUAUUUUUCUAGAUGUAGUUAUCCUCUCUUUUGUAAAGACAAAGACCACAACCUGUAAGUCAGAGUAUAAGUGUAUAAGUGUAAACAGAUUUAUAGCAUGCCAGUGGCGCAGUGGAUUAAUUCCAGAUAAAACACUGCAAAGCUCCCAGGUUCAAUACCUGCAUGUGAUAUCUACAAAUUACGGUAAAACUAUGUUUACAAUGAAUGUCUAAUAAAAUGCCGUAUGUGUUGUUACAUGGAUUGUCGUUUAACUAACUUCCUCAAUGGUAAGAUAACACAAACACAUGAAAGAAAUCUCCAUGGACUGUUCAAAACAAAAUGGUAUCAUUCUGGGAACAUUGGAAGAACAUUGAGGGAAUGUUUUGUGUAAACAUGUCAUCACAACUGGACAGAUUUUAGGUUCUGGGAACCUUACAAGAACACAGAACAGCUGUUCUGUCUUCAUUCUUGCAACAUCAAAGGAAUGUUUGUGCACCCUGAUACAAACAUUAAAACAUGAUCUGAAUGUCAGCACAACUCGACAGUUUUAGUGUUUUGGGAACUUUUAAAGAACAUUACAAAAUAUUCUGGGAAUGUUCUUACAACAUCAGACAACAGUUUUUUGUGUUUUGGCAACAUAUCUCUUGCCAUGUCCCCACAAUGUUACCACAACCUAAAGAAAUGUGUUAGGAACUAUUAAAGAACAGACUAAAUGUGUUCUGGGAAUGUUCUUGCAACGUCAGGUGAAUGUUUUAUUCAAAUAUAAUCAUAAGCACAACUGGACCGUUUUUCUUUUAUGAGAACAUUUGCCGCAACCUAACAAAUACCAAUUUUGGUAUUCUGGGUAGUCUCCAUAACCCACAGUCACAGAGAACAGGCACAGCAUCUGCCAUAGAGAGUACUGUAUGAGUCAUGUGUUUUUA
rnacentral:lncRNA from 1 species